CCAAAAACUUAGCUCCAUCACCCCUAAUGCCCACCCAUCAACUCAUUUAAUAAAAUAAAACAUUUUAUCUUUAUAGUAAAGGCGAUUAAAAAAUAUCUUGAAGCUAUAGAAACUAGUACCGCAAGGGAAUAGUGAAAUAAAGAUGAAAACCUUUAAGCACCAAAAAGCAGAGCCACAACCUCGUACCUUUUGCAUCAUGGUUUAACUAGUCUAAUCAGACAAAGCGCACUUUAAGCCUGACCCCCCGAAACUAGGUGAGCUACUUAAAAACAGCCUUUAGAGCCAACCCGUCUCUGUUGCAAAAGAGUGGGAAGAUUAUUAAGUAGAGGUGAUAGACCUACCGAACCUAGAGAUAGCUGGUUAUUCAGGAAAAGAACUUAAGUCCUACCUUAGGUUUAUUAUAAUAUGAGUAUUCAACAAACCUUAAGAGCUAUUCAAACAAGGUACAGCCUGCUUGAAAAAGGAUACAACCUCAACUAG
rnacentral:rRNA from 1 species